rnacentral:rRNA from 1 species
AUGCCACAAGUUCUUUCUCCUCCUGAUCAUCUUCCUAUGCAGGGUCGAACUCUUAAGUCGGAUUUGCUCAUUACGGGGACCAAAAUAUUUUCUGACGCUGCUUUCAGAAGUUCAGAAGUUCCUGGUCUAUUACAGGGAGCAGUUGCUACUGGAAUAGGGGUCUAUCUUGUUUUGCCUCAAGAUCGUUUUGAAAUCAAUGUGCAAAUUCAAGCAUCAGCUCCUCCCACUACUUCUCCUCUACAUGCAGAAGCUCUGGCUCUUUCUUUUGCAGCUCAAGUGGCUAGUAAGCUCAAUAUUUGGCAGCCAACCUUUCUCAUGGAUUGUUUCUCUUUAUCUUUGGUGGCUGCUACCGGCAAGAUUAUGGAAUCUACCACCCCUUGGAGCAUCAGGAAGCCUUUGGCUGAUUUCUUCAAGCAUGCUAACAACUUGCAACCUCGAGUGUUUCACAUUUCUAGGGAAAUUAAUGGCAUAGCACACAAUGUAGCUCACCAGGUUCUUCAUUCUAGGGUUGAACCUCAAGUUUGUUGCUUCGCUUCAGCUCAUAGACAUAGUUCCUGUCCUGUGCUGUCUCUUCUCUCAAAUUUUCAGGUUCAGGAGUUUGUAAUUCACGCUGUACACUGUUUCUGA